rnacentral:rRNA from 1 species
GAUGAACGCUGGCGGCGUGCUUAACACAUGCAAGUCGAACGGAAAGGCCCUGCUUUUGUGUGUUGCUCGUUUGGCGAACGGGUGAGUAUCACGCGUGUAACCUGCCCUUGACUUUGGGAUAACUUCAGGAAACUGGGGCUAAUACCGCAUAGGAGCUCCUGCUGCAUGGUGGGGGUUGGAAAGUUUCGGCGGUUGGGGAUGGACUCGCGGCUUAUCAGCUUGUUGGUGGGGUAGUGGCUUACCAAGGCUUUGACGGGUAGCCCGCCUGAGAGGGUGACCGGCCACAUUGGGACUGAGAUACGGACCAGACUCGUACGGGCGGCAGCAGUGGGGAAUAUUGCACAAUGGGCGGAAGCCUGAUGCAGCAGCCCCGCGUGCGGGAUGACGGCCUUCGGGUUAUAAACCGCUUUCGCCUGUGACGAAGCGUGAGUGACGGUAAUGGGUAAAGAAGCACCGGCUAACUACGUG